rnacentral:rRNA from 1 species
GAUGAACGCUGGCGGCGUGCCUAACACAUGCAAGUCGAACGUUAGGGUUUAGCAAUAAACCCGAAAGUGGCGAACGGGUGAGUAACACGUAGGUAACCUGCCGCGCAGAGGGGGAUAACGACUGGAAACGGUCGCUAACACCGCAUGGUACUGUUUUGAUGGGAAUCUGAACAGUUAAAACCUUGGUGCUGCGCGAGGGGCCUGCGUCCGAUUAGCUAGUUGGUGAGGUAAUGGCUCACCAAGGCUGUGAUCGGUAGCUGGUCUGAGAGGAUGAUCAGUCACACGGGAACUGAGACACGGUCCCGACUCCUACGGGGGGCAGCAGUGAGGAAUAUUGCACAAUGGACGCAAGUCUGAUGCAGCAACGCCGCGUGGAGGAUGAAGGUCUUUGGAUUGUAAACUCCUUUUCUCAGGGAAGAGUGAGGACGGUACCUGAGGAAUAAGUCACGGCUAACUACGUGCCAGCAGCCGCCGUAAUAC